GCUGGGCAUGGUGGCGCAUGCCUGUAAUCCCAGCUACUUGGGAGGCUGAGGCAGGAGAAUCGCUUGAACCCAGGAGGCAGGGGUUGCAGUGAGCCAAGACCGUGUCACUCCAGCCUGGGCAACAGAGCGAGACUCCGUCUCAA
rnacentral:SRP_RNA from 1 species